rnacentral:rRNA from 1 species
CCGUACACAAAAGCGCAUGUGCUGUGAGCUCGAUGAGUAGGGCGGGACACGUGGUAUCCUGUCUGAAUAUGGGGGGACCAUCCUCCAAGGCUAAAUACUCCUGACUGACCGAUAGUGAACCAGUACCGUGAGGGAAAGGCGAAAAGAACCCCGGCGAGGGGAGUGAAAAAGAACCUGAAACCGUGUACGUACAAGCAGUGGGAGCACAGGUUUACCUGUGUGACUGCGUACCUUUUGUAUAAUGGGUCAGCGACUUAUAUUCUGUAGCAAGGUUAACCGUAUAGGGGAGCCGGAGGGAAACCGAGUCUUAAUUGGGCGUUAAGUUGCAGGGUAUAGACCCGAAACCCGGUGAUCUAGCCAUGGGCAGGUUGAAGGUUGGGUAACACUAACUGGAGGACCGAACCGACUAAUGUUGAAAAAUUAGCGGAUGACCUGUGGCUGGGGGUGAAAGGCCAAUCAAACCGGGAGAUAGCUGGUUCUCCCCGAAAGCUAUUUAGGUAGCGCCUCGUGAAUUCAUCUCCGGGGGUAGAGCACUGUUUCGGCUAGGGGGCCAUCCCGGCUUACCAACCCGAUGCAAACUGCGAAUACCGGAGAAUGUUAUCACGGGAGACACACGGCGGGUGCUAACGUCCGUCGUGAAGAGGGAAACAACCCAGACCGCCAGCUAAGGUCCCAAAGUCAUGGUUAAGUGGGAAACGAUGUGGGAAGGCCCAGACAGCCAGGAUGUUGGCUUAGAAGCAGCCAUCAUUUAAAGAAAGCGUAAUAGCUCACUGGUCGAGUCGGCCUGCGCGGAAGAUGUAACGGGGCUAAACCAUGCACCGAAGCUGCGGCAGCGAACGUAUCACCCAAGACAACUUUACGGAGUUGACGAUUGACGGAGCGAAGCGACGUCAAAGCGUUCAUUAAAGUCGAGUUGGCUUAGGGAUACGUUCGUUGGGUAGGGGAGCGUUCUGUAAGCCUGUGAAGGUGUGUCGUGAGGCAUGCUGGAGGUAUCAGAAGUGCGAAUGCUGACAUAAGUAACGAUAAAGCGGGUGAAAAGCCCGCUCGCCGGAAGACCAAGGGUUCCUGUCCAACGUUAAUCGGGGCAGGGUGAGUCGACCCCUAAGGCGAGGCCGAAAGGCGUAGUCGAUGGGAAACGGGUUAAUAUUCCCGUACUUGGUGUUACUGCGAAGGGGGGACGGAGAAGGCUAUGUUGGCCGGGCGACGGUUGUCCCGGUUUAAGCGUGUAGGUGUGUGUUCCAGGUAAAUCCGGUUCACUUUAACACUGAGGCGUGACGACGAGGCACUACGGUGCUGAAGCAACAAAU